GCCCGCUGGCUGGUUUCAGCUGACCUGCCUCUACGACCUCACCUCGGACAGAUGAAUUGAUUAGCUGCUCUCAGUCCUGGCUGGCCAGCCCAAAGCCAGAGCCUCUGUGAGUCUGCCUGGCACACAGCACGUGCUACGUCCAGCCAUUUGGGAGAUGACAGAAGAGCCUAGAAAAGCCUUCAGAGAAAUCCAAGGGCCUUGUGUCACCUGGAGCAGAUGAAAGGAGAACAUCAGCUAUAAUGGAAAUAACCAAAGAGAGGAAAAGCAUUUAGGACAAGGAUCAGAACAACGACAAUAUGCCUCACAUUGUUCGGUCCUUUAUAGUUUACAACCAAGUGCCCCAGGUUUAUCAAUGAUCCAAGUCCUGGUGCUCAAUAAAUAGUAGCUAUUAUUCUCA